AAUGGGGGAUUUGCGAAGAGAAAACACGUGAUUUUCAGGUUUAAUGGAAGAUUCAUGAAGAGAAAACGCGUGAUUUUCAAGUUAAAUGGGGGAUGUCCGAAGAGAAAACGCGUGAUUUUCGCUGAAAUGGGGUAUUUGAGAAGAGAAAAUUCGUGAUUUUCGCAUAAGUGGGGGAUUCUCGAAGAGAAAACUCUUGAUUUUCACUUAAACUGACGAUUCUCAAAGAGAAAACGCGAGAUUUUCGCUUAAAUGGGGGUUUUGCGAUGGGAAAACGUGUGAUUUCUGGUUAAAUGGGGGAUUUCUGAAGAGAAAACUCGUGGUUUUUUGUGUUAAUUGGGGGAUUUGCGAAGGGAAAACGCGUGAUUUUCGGGUUAAAUGGGGGAUUUGCGAAGAGAAAACGCGUGAUUUUCGGUUAAAUGGGAUUUU
ensembl:lncRNA